GGGGGGAUGUGGGGGGGGGUGGCGUCCAUACCACCCGGCAGCAUUGUGGGACGGUCCGGGGGUUAUUCUGCAGAGCACAGUCCAAUGGCUGGUGUGCAGGUCCCCGGGGUCCCAAUGCCUUCUCCCAGGAUCUGCGGUCGGUCCUACACCCCUUUUCCUGUAUUUCUUCUCUACGGUCUCAUCCUCCCAGAGUGAAGCCCAGGCACGAUGCUCAGAGGCCCUUGGGUAAGUACCUCUCGUAGAAAUCAGCGAAUGACCCACUGUCGAGGGCUGGCGACUUGAGCCUUGUGGGACCCAGAAGUGCACAGGGGGCCACAGUAAGAAAUGGCCUCUCUUCUGGGGCCAGGCCACCCUGGGCACUUUCCUUCAUUUCACUGAUGCCCCUAGGAGCCUCCUCGUCCGUGGGGAGUCCGGGGCCCCUGUUCCUCAGCCCCAGAUGGCCCUCUCCGGUUUGUAUGAGGACAGGGCAGAACCCCAGCAGGUGAGCAGUGGGGGGACCCUUUGGGCAGGGUCUCUGGGGACAGGGACCCCUCAAUCUCGACAGCCCACCCAUCCAGACGGCUGCCUUCUGCGUGCUCCUCAGACACAGCCGCCCUGCCCUUCGGUAACGGUAACGGGGGAGCUGCCCAGAAACCACAGAGCGUAAUCAUAGCUGCAGGGCCCUUGAAAAAUGGCUGAGAAGGGCCGGCUCAACUCGCAGGUGUAGGAGGAAACGCAGACUCUUGACCUCGGAAGGCCUGUUCCUGCUAGGUUCCCUGGCCUCCUGUCCAAGGUGUCACCGGCUCACCAUCCCGUGGCCCCACCUUGUUUGAUUUUGAUGGGGAUAACCGGACACAGACACGCGGAGAAGGCCGUGUGAAAUGGACGCAGGGUUCGGAGCAAUGCAUCCCUGAGUCGAGGAACACUACAGCUUGCUGGAGCCACCAGAAGCUGGAAGAGGUAGGAAGGAUCCCCUCCUAGAGCUUUCAGACAGAGCACGGAACUGCCGACUCAAAGUCCUGCUGAGUCUGGACUUCUGGCCUUCAGAACUGACAGAGAAUACAUUUCUGUUGUGUUGAGC